AUGAAGUCUACCACUCCUAAUCAUCGGAAAUGCUGUGGUUUGGUCCUAUUUCCUCUGGGAUUGCUUCUGAGGAUGCUGUCUUCAUGCCAGCGGCAGGCAGUUGAAUCACAGGCCUUCACAGGACCACUGGACUUCUGGCAGCAAACAGGAAAUCGCUCCUUUCCCUCUGACUUCACUGAGCUGGAAGACUAUACGAGAGUGUUCUUUGUCCCACGAUUGGCGAAUGUUCUUUCGUUAGUGGUUCAGACACCAAUGCCAUUUCUUCAGAGCAUUGUCUACACCUGCAUAGGGUUUGUAAAGAUGAAAAAAAUGCAUGACACACAUCACCAAGAAUCAGGGGUUGUGCCUGGCAAUGCAAUUGAAAAAAGCUUUGGAAUGAACUCCCCCUGGGCAGUGUUCUCUGCCUUCUGUUACAGAAGACGGCAAAAAUAGGAGCCGGUGUACCUCUGGCCAAUUAUUCAAUGCUCCAUCACAAGGGGAAAUUCCUUCCUCACCCCAGCUGGUGAACAGUUAUGCCCUGGAGCCCAGGACGGACAUGCCUUGUAACUUUUUAACCUG
rnacentral:lncRNA from 1 species